GGGCCAGUAGCAUAGCGGCCAAUGCAGCGCCCUGUCGAGGCGAAGAUCGAGGGUUCGAAUCCCUUCUGGCCCGCCA
rnacentral:tRNA from 2 species